CCUACGGGAGGCUGCAGUUUCGAAUCAUUCACAAUGGGCGAAAGCCUGAUGGUGCGACGCCGCGUGAGGGAUGAAGGCCUUCGGGUUGUAAACCUCUGUCACUGGGGAAGAAACGCUUCAAGUUAAUAGCUUGAAGCCUGACUUAACCCAGAGAGGAAGCAGUGGCUAACUCUGUGCCAGCAGCCGCGGUAAUACAGAGACUGCAAGCGUUAUUCGGAUUCCCUGGGCGGAAAGGUGGCGUAGGUGUCCGAGCCCGGGGCUUAACCUCGGAAUUGCGCCUAAAACUACACGGCUAGAGCAUUGGAGAGGGUAGCGGAAUUCACGGUGUAGCAGGGAAAUGCGUAGAUAUCGUGAGGAACACCAGAGGCGAAGGCGGCUACCUGGACAAUUGCUGACGCUCAGGCACGAAAGCGUGGGGAGCAAAAGGGAUUAGAUACCCUAGUAGUC
rnacentral:rRNA from 1 species